CGGACGGGGUGAGUAAUGUCUGGGAAACUGCCCGAUGGAGGGGGGUAACUACUGGAAACGGUAGCUAAUACCGCAUAACGUCGCAAGACCAAAGAGGGGGACCUUCGGGCCUCUUGCCAUCGGAUGUGCCCAGAUGGGAUUAGCUAGUAGGUGGGGUAAUGGCUCACCUAGGCGACGAUCCCUAGCUGGUCUGAGAGGAUGACCAGCCACACUGGAACUGAGACACGGUCCAG
rnacentral:rRNA from 1 species